CCUACGGGAGGCAGCAGUGGGGAAUAUUGGGCAAUGGAGGAAACUCUGACCCAGCGACGCCGCGUGCGGGAUGAAGGCCUUCGGGUUGUAAACCGCUUUCAGCAGGGAAGAAGCGAAAGUGACGGUACCUGCAGAAGAAGCACCGGCUAACUAUGUGCCAGCAGCCGCGGUAAUACAUAGGGUGCAAGCGUUGUCCGGAAUUAUUGGGCGUAAAGAGCUCGUAGGUGGUUCGUCACGUCGGAUGUGAAACUCUGGGGCUUAACCCCAGACCUGCAUUCGAUACGGGCGAGCUUGAGUAUGGUAGGGGAGUCUGGAAUUCCUGGUGUAGCGGUGGAAUGCGCAGAUAUCAGGAGGAACACCAAUGGCGAAGGCAGGACUCUGGGCCAUUACUGACACUGAGGAGCGAAAGCGUGGGGAGCGAACAGGAUUAGAUACCCUGGUAGUCCACGCCGUAAACGGUGGGCACUAGUUGUGGGGACCUUCCACGGUCUCUGCGACGCAGCUAACGCAUUAAGUGCCCCGCCUGGGGAGUACGAUCGCAAGAUUAAAAACUCAAAAUGAAUUGACGG
rnacentral:rRNA from 1 species